GGUGCGGUGCGCUAAUUGGCAUAGCGGCUGAGCUCAAACCUCAGUGUUUGUGGGUUCGAGUCCCACCCUCACCAC
rnacentral:tRNA from 2 species